UUGUGCCAGGAUUGCGGUUAAACAAUUUAUAUAAAUUAAUUAAAUCAAAUAAUAAUUUUAUUAAUAUUUUUUUUUAUAAAAAAAAAUUAUUAUAGUGAAAUAAAACAUAAUUUAAAAUAAAAAAUUUAAAAUAUUUAUAAAUUAUUAAAUAGUAUUUUUUUAAAAAACUAGGAUUAGAUACCCUACUAUUAUUAUUAAAAAUUAUUUAGAUAUUAAUUAUUAAAUUAUCAAAUUUAUAAAAUUUGGCGGUAUUUUUCUAAUUAGAGGAAUUUAUUUUUAUAACUUGAUAACCCACAAUAAAAAAAACUUAAUAUUUAUACUUAUAUACUAUUGUUUAAUUAAACUAAUUUAAUAUUAUUUAAUUUAUAAUUUAUAUUAUAUAAAAAAAUUCAAAUCAAAGUAUAGUUUAUUAUUAAGAAAAAAUGAAUUAUUUUAAUUUAUAAUAAAGAAAAAUUUUAAAAUUUAAAUUAUUAAAAUUUAAUAUUAAAUUUAAUUAAAUUAAUUAAAUUGAUUAAGUUAAAAAAUAUGUACAUAUUGCCCGUCAUUCUUUUAAAGACAAGUCGUAACAAAGUAAAUAUAUUGGAAAAUGUAUUUAGAAUAAAUUUUAAA
rnacentral:rRNA from 1 species